rnacentral:rRNA from 1 species
ACUGAAUAGAUACCCCGGUAGUCUUGGCCCUAAACUAUGUUCACUAGGUGUCGGGGGUUUCCUUCGGUGCCGCAGCUAAACGCAUUAAAGUGAACCGCCUGGGGACUACGGCCGCAAGGUUGAAACUCAAAGGAAUUGGCGGGGGCCCGCACAAGCGGUGGAGCAUGUGGCUUAAUUCGAUGCAACGCGAAGAACCUUACCAGGGCUUGACAUGUAGCUGCAAGCCGCCGAAACGUGGUCGCCUUCGAGGGUGCUACACAGGUGGUGCAUGGCUGUCGUCAGCUCGUGUUGUGAAAUGUUGGGUUAAGUCCCGCAACGAGCGCAACCCUCAUGUUCUGUUACCAGCGAGUAAAGUCGGGGACUCGGAACAAACUGCCUCUGUAAGGAGGAGGAAGGUGGGGAUGACGUCAAGUCAUCAUGCCCCUUACGCCCUGGGCUGCACACAUGCUACAAUGGCCGGUACAAAGAGCUGCGAACUCGCGAGGGUAAGCUAAUCUCAAAAAGCCGGUCUCAGUUCGGAUUGGAGUCUGCAACUCGAC